AAGACAUUUCGGUAGUUCCACUCCUUUCAGUUCAAUAAUUUCCUUCAACCAGUUAGCUUUGUUUGAUUUCUGGUUAUGUUUCGACAAGUAUCGAACAUGCAAAUAUACACAUUUGACCUACCUCCAUAGAUCUACCGUAAGCAGCCUUUACGGAAGAUAUACGCUUCAUACUUCGUAGCAUCGGUGAAAGAUUCUGCAGGUCUUGGAUGCGCCGAGCCAAGCGAAUGGGCAAUUCA